rnacentral:lncRNA from 1 species
CAAUUAUUCAAAAUAUGUUCUUAUAGCUUCACGUUUACGAUACGAAACACGUUUUAAUGUAAGAUUAUUUAUUUUUUGUAUAUGUAGGUUCUAGUUGAAAGUGACAGCGACAAUGAAAAAAGUGCAAACAACAUUGAAAUAUCCAGUUCACUACUAGCUCAAAUCCUGCGACAUAUCACUUGCUAGUAGCCCAGUCUAGUUUAACUUUUCCCAAUCAAGAAUCAUCUCCUGAAUCAGGCAUACUGGCAACACUGGUUCAUUUGAUAAUGUAAGUUUUUAAACUGGUAUUUUAGAUUAUAAC